rnacentral:ncRNA from 1 species
GGCUUCGGGACGUAAAAAGACCUAAGUACCUAGGGUAAAAACCAACCAACCCCACCAAACCUCGUGUUGAUCACUCGGCCGGGUGAAACGUGUCGAACUGGCUGGCGCGGCGGUGGUGCGGGCGGGCACUCUCUGCUCAGAGGGCGGGAUCAACUCGGCGCUCUCACAACCCCGUACAGACGUCGGCCCCCGCCGGGACGUAGGACUCCCGGGCGAGGGCCUGACCACAGAGGAAGAAGCCCCUUCCCC